rnacentral:sRNA from 1 species
ACCUUGAUGAUAAUGGACUGAACCUCGGCUCGGAACCCGACAGCUGGGGAUAACAGGAAGAACCUGUAACCCAGGCCUGAGCUGAGAAGGACAGGGUGAGGGAGAGACAGGGAUACUUCCCAGCUGCCUGUCCUUGUGUCCUGAGGAUAUCUGGAGAGGAGACCAGGCUCUGUAUCCUGAUGAUAAAGGUCCAGCUUCUCUGAAGAACACAGAACUCUGCACUACCAUCUACUCCAGGCUACGAAAGCAUUCACACAGAUGAUGACACUCCAGCCUUGCAACUGGGAGGAGGGCAUGAUUACUAAUAGUAAAAAAAAAAUAUUAUCAAAAGAAGUGUAGUGAUUUGUCAAAGGUCAAAGGUCAGAUCCUGGUGGAAGAACUCUUCUUCAGACUUACAUCCUCUGACUCUGCAUCCAGGGUUCAGGCUUGCAACAUUAGUCAGCUGACGCAACCAGCCUUGAACUCCACUCGUGGCAUCGGGCCCGAGGUCAAGGCCAGAACUAGUUCCCCAGACUGCAAGCUGCCUUCUGUCUAGGAAACACUUUUCUGGACUCAGAGAGAGGGGAGGGGGCAAAAGGGAGAGGGCCAUAGAGAAGUAAGGGAUUGGCAUCAAUUUCCUUUUAUUGAGCAACGGUUUCCGCCAUCUGGACAGGUGACGUCAGCUGUCUGGAUUUCAGCCAUGGUUCUGUGGUUCAGGCGCCCAGGAAAUAGACUUCCGGUUAGAAGGGCUCUGACCUAGGGGAGGAGCCUUGCAACUUGGAAAGACAGAAAUCACUCCAGGGAAAGUUUCACUGCAGGGCAAAUCAGGUUCAGUGGCCAAGAGGAGCUCAGUGGGUCCUUGGUGAGGGGGCAGGAAACUCAGCAAGAGAGGAAUCAUGUCUUUAUCACAGUCGAUUUUCGUGACUCAAGUACAGUGGGAGUGGGUGGGGGAAAGGUAAGCAAAGUCAAGGAAAAAGACACACAAACUGAAGGUAAACACAGGCCAAGAAUAGAAGCCUGAUCCUGACCCUGGAAAUCUUUGGAGGGACACUAAAUCCUCAACAGAGUGGAGCUGGGCUCCUGAAUAACUUCACUUUUGGAAUUUCAAAAGUGAACCUCUUAAAAAGACAACUAAACGACAGAUGCAUUAAUUAAGCUGAAAGCUAAGCUCUGCCCUCUCCCCUCUUUGGUCUCCACAGUCCCCAGGUCAGGUUCCUGAACCUACUUCCUCACCCUGACCCUUCCAGUUUUAUCUCUUGUGGUCCUCACAGUGAUGGCCAGAGGGAAGAAAUAGAUGCCUUUACUUACUUACCUUUUUUUUUCCUUCUUUCUUGAGACAAAGAGUUGCUCUGUAGUCCAAACUAGCCUCAAGCUCACACCAAUCCUCCUGCCUCAGCUUCCUAAGUGACAUUACAGGUGUCAGCAUCAUUCCAGCCUAUGCAUAGGCAAGCAUACAGUGGAGCAGCAUUAAACCUGUCCUCCCCGUGUGCAACCCUCAGCAGACUCCCCUGAGCUAUUAUAGCUCCCCACUCAGGACCCUAAACACGCCCAGAGCCCUGCCCCUGGGCAACAUCCAGGCUCUUUAAG